rnacentral:rRNA from 1 species
UUGAAAGGGAAACGAUUGAAGUCAGUCGUACCGACGAGAAAUCAACCUAUCGUGUGCGAACUUGUGGGCGUGCGUGAGUUUCGGCCUCGCUGUUUGCAUGUUUGUGCGUUUUGGGUGUACUUUUUCGUAUGGUAGGCCAACGUCAGUUUCGAUUAUCAUAAAAUGACCGGCGGAAUGUAGCUUCGAUUUCGGUUGAAGUGUUAUAGCCUCUGGUAGAUGUGGUGAUUGAGACUGAGGAUUGCAACGAAUACCCUUUGGGCUAUCCGUCUGGCCUCUGAAAGUUGCUCAGGUGCCGAAAGCGUGCUUACGGUCAUCUAAGAUAACGUUCAACAGGUUAGAACGUGAUUACAUUCGUUAAGGAUGUUGACGUA